rnacentral:rRNA from 1 species
ACGGGAGGCGCAGUGAGGAAUAUUGGCCAAUGGGCGCAGGCCUGAACCAGCCAAGUCGCGUGAGGGAGGACGGUCCUACGGAUUGUAAACCUCUUUUGUCGGGGAGUAACGUGCGGGACGUGUCCCGUAUUGAGAGUACCCGAAGAAAAAGCAUCGGCUAACUCCGUGCCAGCAGCCGCGGUAAUACGGAGGAUGCGAGCGUUAUCCGGAUUUAUUGGGUUUAAAGGGUGCGUAGGCGGCGUGCCAAGUCAGCGGUCAAAGUUCCGGGCUCAACCCGGUGAUGCCGUUGAAACUGGUGUGAUCGAGUGCGUGCGAGGAAGGCGGAAUGCGUUGUGUAGCGGUGAAAUGCAUAGAUAUAACGCAGAACCCCGAUUGCGAAGGCAGCUUUCCAGCACGCUACUGACGCUGAGGCACGAAAGCGUGGGGAUCGAACAGGAUUAGAUACCCUGGUA